rnacentral:rRNA from 1 species
UACGUAGGGGGCAAGCGUUGUCCGGAAUCAUUGGGCGUAAAGCGCGUGUAGGCGGCUCGAUAAGUCUGCUGUGAAAGUCCAGGGCUCAACCCUGGGAUGCCGGUGGAUACUGUCGAGCUCGAGUCCGGAAGAGGAGUGUGGAAUUCCUGGUGUAGCGGUGAAAUGCGCAGAUAUCGGGAAGAACACCCGUGGCGAAGGCGGUUCUCUGGGACGGUACUGACGCUGGAGACGCGAAAGCGUGGGGAGCGAACAGG